AUUGAACGCUGGCGGCAGGCCUAACACAUGCAAGUCGAGCGGAUGAAGGGAGCUUGCUCCUGGAUUCAGCGGCGGACGGGUGAGUAAUGCCUAGGAAUCUGCCUGGUAGUGGGGGAUAACGUCCGGAAACGGGCGCUAAUACCGCAUACGUCCUGCGGGAGCAAGUGGGGGAUCUUCGGACCUCACGCUAUCAGAUGAGCCUAGGUCGGAUUAGCUAGUUGGUGGGGUAAAGGCCUACCAAGGCGACGAUCCGUAACUGGUCUGUGAGGAUGAUCAGUCACACUGGAACUGAGACACGGUCCAGACUCCUACGGGAGGCAGCAGUGGGGAAUAUUGGACAGUGGGCGAAAGCCUGAUCCAGCCAUGCCGCGUGUGUGAAGGAGGUCUUCGGAUUGUAAAGCACUUUAAGUUGGGAGGAAGGGCAGUAAGUUAAUACCUUGCUGUUUUGACGUUACCAACAGAAUAAGCACCGGCUAACUUCGUG
rnacentral:rRNA from 1 species